AGGAAACUGCCAUUGAUACUGUAGGGCUUGAAUUAUUAGGAAGUAACUAGAAUAUGUAGUGUAGCGGUGAAAUGCUUAGAUAUUACAUGGAAUACCAAUUGCGAAGGCAGGUUACUACUAAUUGAUUGACGCUGAUGGACGAAAGCGUGGGUAGCGAACAGGAUUAGAUACCCUGGUAGUCCACGCCGUAAACGAUGGAUACUAGCUGUUCGGAGCAAUCUGAGUGGCUAAGCGAAAGUGAUAAGUAUCCCACCUGGGGAGUACGAACGCAAGUUUGAAACUCAAAGGAAUUGACGGGGGCCCGCACAAGCGGUGGAGCAUGUGGUUUAAUUCGAUGAUACGCGAGGAACCUUACCAAGGCUUAAAUGGGAAACGACAGAUUUGGAAACAGAUUUUUCUUCGGACGUUUUUCAAGGUGCUGCAUGGUUGUCGUCAGCUCGUGCCGUGAGGUGUCAGGUUAAGUCCUAUAACGAGCGCAACCCCUGUCGUUAGUUGCCAGCGAGUCAUGUCGGGAACUCUAACGAGACUGCCAGUGUAAACUGUGAGGAAGGUGGGGAUGACGUCAAAUCAUCACGGCCCUUACGCCUUGGGCCACACACGUGCUACAAUGGACGGUACAGAGAGCAGCUACUGGGUGACCAGAUGCGAAUCUUCAAAACCGUUCUCAGUUCGGAUCGAAGUCUGCAACUCGACUUCGUGAAGCUGGAAUCGCUAGUAAUCGGAUAUCAGCCAUGAUCCGGUGAAUACGUUCCCGGGCCUUGUACACACCGCCCGUCAAGCCAUGGAAGCUGGGGGUACCU
rnacentral:rRNA from 1 species